ACCUGGGACUCACCCAAAUCAACUCAAAACAGCUAUAUUCUGAGUCAACUUUCAUUUGCAUUGACUUGGUAUUACUUGGCUGGCUCAUGUCAACAGAACUCAGCUGUCAUUCGGUUUUCUACUUGAAUAUCCAGGGCUGAGGCACAACACGUCACAUGACUUGAGGAAGAAGAGGCUCUCAUUUCAGCUCAUAAAAAAAAUCUAGAUAGAAGAGGCUUGCCCCAAUUGCUUUUGUACUUAAGCUGGUUUUGCAAUAUUGAGUGCCGGAUAUCAGCAAAACCAAUCUAUAUAUUCUUUUUAGUGCAUUUGGGUAUUUACGCCUUUUGUGGUGGAUGCAAUGUGUUAUGCCCUUUUCUCUCUGGAUGAAUCCAAAUUCUGAAGGGCUUCUUACUCUUGCCUUUGUACCUAGAAAGCAAUUAUCUCUCAAUUGUAGACGAAUUCCAUUUCAGUCCAAUAAUUCCAAUGUCUUGAUGAUUGUUGUUUCCCUUUUCAGGAUAAUUUCAAUUAUGCAAUUACAUAUUACCAUAAGGUACACUUACAAGUUGGGGCAUAGGUUAUUCAAUGGUCUGUACAUUUGGAGUUAGACAUAUCACUUCAAAGCAUCUCCUUAUCCUGGACAGGAUUCUUUACAGUGUGUAGUAAUUUUUCGUGACAUGGGAAAGGUAGGAAGCGCCUUGAUCCUGUGGGUCUAGGAGAUGAUGAUCAAUGCAUUGAGGAGGGAGCUUCACACUCCAGCUUCUGAUCGUUCUUGCAUUCAUCUGGAAUUUGACAUAUUUGGGACAGGACUUGUGUAAGUUUCCUUUGGAUUUUAUUUGAUGCAACUUCAGAGCC